rnacentral:lncRNA from 1 species
GAGGGUGCUUUUUCAUUGGCUACCAUGAAAAGAAGUGUGUGAAACAUUGGGUGAUAGUUGAAAAAGAGGUUAAAAAUUAGAAGAGGAAUCAAAUAAGAAAGCAUCAUUUGGAGGAUCUCCAAUUCAGAAAGGGAUUCCUAAUUCUUCCCAAGCAAAAAGUCCCCUUUUUGUUUUGCUGCUCUUUAGAUUGCAUCAUUUGACUUUGGAUGAUAAAAUAUUUAUUUGUGU